GAUGAACGCUGACAGAAUGCUUAACACAUGCAAGUCAACUUGAACUUCGGUUUGGGUGGCGGACGGGUGAGCAACGCGUAAAGAACUUGCCUCACAGCUAGGGACAACAUUUGGAAACGAAUGCUAAUACCUGAUAUUAUGAUUAUAUGGCAUCGUAUAAUUAUGAAAGCUAUAUGCGCUGUGAGAGAGCUUUGCGUCCCAUUAGCUAGUUGGAGAGGUAACAGCUCACCAAGGCGAUGAUGGGUAGCCGGCCUGAGAGGGUGAUCGGCCACAAGGGGACUGAGACACGGCCCUUACUCCUACGGGAGGCAGCAGUGGGGAAUAUUGGACAAUGGACCGAGAGUCUGAUCCAGCAAUUCUGUGUGCACGAUGAAGUUUUUCGGAAUGUAAAGUGCUUUCAGUUGGGAAGAAAAAAAUGACGGUACCAACAGAAGAAGUGACGGCUAAAUACGUG
rnacentral:rRNA from 1 species